AAAUUGAAGAGUUUGAUCAUGGCUCAGAUUGAACGCUGGCGGCAGGCCUAACACAUGCAAGUCGAACGGUAACAGGAAGCAGCUUGCUGCUUCGCUGACGAGUGGCGGACGGGUGAGUAAUGUCUGGGAAACUGCCUGAUGGAGGGGGAUAACUACUGGAAACGGUAGCUAAUACCGCAUAACGUCGAAAGACCAAAGAGGGGGACCUUCGGGCCUCUUGCCAUCGGAUGUGCCCAGAUGGGAUUAGCUUGUU
rnacentral:rRNA from 1 species